UACGGAGGGUGCGAGCGUUGUUCGGAAUCAUUGGGCGUAAAGGGCGUGCAGGCGGUUUGUUAAGUCUGAUGUGAAAGCCCCGGGCCUAACCCGGGAAGUGCAUUGGAAACUGGCAGACUCGAGUGCGGGAGAGGGCAGUGGAAUUCCUGGUGUAGGAGUGAAAUCCGCAGAGAUCAGGAAGAACACCUGUGGCGAAGGCGGCUGCCUGGACCGAUACUGACGCUGAGACGCGAAAGCGUGGGGAGCAAACAGG
rnacentral:rRNA from 1 species